rnacentral:tRNA from 2 species
UUAUAUUUUGGUGUAUGAUGCACAAAGAAUUUUGAUUUCUUGGGUUUUAGUUUAAUUCUAAAAAAUAUAA